rnacentral:rRNA from 1 species
CUACGGGGCGCAGCAGUGAGGAAUAUUGCACAAUGGGGGAAACCCUGAUGCAGCAACGCCGCGUGGAGGAUGACGCAUUUCGGUGUGUAAACUCCUUUUAUAUGUCAAGAAAAUGACGGUAGCAUAUGAAUAAGCACCGGCUAACUCCGUGCCAGCAGCCGCGGUAAUACGGAGGGUGCAAGCGUUACUCGGAAUCACUGGGCGUAAAGGACGCGUAGGCUGGCUGGUAAGUCAGGUGUGAAAUCCUACAGCUUAACUGUAGAACUGCACUUGAAACUACCAACCUAGAGUAUGGGAGGGGGAGAUGGAAUUAGUGGUGUAGGGGUAAAAUCCGUAGAUAUCACUAGGAAUACCGAAAGCGAAGGCGAUCUCCUGGAACAUAACUGACGCUAAGGCGUGAAAGCGUGGGGAGCAAACAGGAUUAGAUACACCAGUAGUC